rnacentral:tRNA from 2 species
CGGAGUGUGGCGCAGCCUGGUAGCGCACUUGCAUGGGGUGCAAGGGGUCGUAGGUUCAAAUCCUAUCACUCCGACCA